UGAUUCAAUACAUUUACAUUUGGUUGAAACGAGUUCGGCUUCAGUCCAGGCACGCUAUAUACGCGCACCGUUCUUGCAACAUGAGCACGCGCCACACGUCUUUUAAUUCGUGCGUUGGUUUAAUACGUGCGAAAUGAAUUAAACGGAGUCUAUCCUUCAUGCCGUUAGCUUCUCCUUAGUUCCAUUCCACUUCCUUCUCGAGACUCACCGGACUCUGCCGUCGCCAAUCACUCUCACUCUCUCCCUUUUCAACCAGCGGUGAUUAACAGCCAUCAUCGGCGACCCCAUCAGGUAUUUUGGACUCUACCCCGACAGAAGUCGGACUGCUAUCACCGGCGACUGAUAGAAGCCGGACUCCUGUCAACAGUAAUCAUUCAGAUUCGCCUACCCUUGAUGAACAAGCAAGAAUGGAGGAUUCUAUGGACAAAGAGUCCAUGAGAUAAGAGAUGGCCACCGGAAACAAGAAGUGGAGGUGUCAUCGUCAGUUGUCUCGUGUUUUAUCACUCUGCCGCUUGGGGAGUCGGUUUCAACCUUCAAUCUGGAGAAUGUCGUCUGCAACCAUGGACUGUUCACGGUGGCGCUGAACCAGUGCGACCCAUGACUAAGACCUAUCUUCCAGCGCCCAUUGAGACUCUCUGAUGAAACCACUUCCAUUCUCGUCUGCAUCUCCCAUCCCCCCAAUUCCCCUUCUCUCCAUGUCCGCGUUCUCGGCACCACUUCCCUCUCUCCCGACGAUCAAGAAGUUCUGUUGGCUCAGGUAGCGCGAAUGCUGUGAUUGUCGGACAAUGAUGAAAGGAAUAUAAGGGAGCUUCACAAGAUCCACCAUGAAGCCAAGGAAAGGGGUUUUGGCGGAAAGGGUACAAACAGAAAUAUGUAAAGUAUACAAAAUACAAGGUUUUCUACUCUACAAUCUGCAUUUCUUUCUC